rnacentral:sRNA from 1 species
GGAUCAUUAUUGAAAAUAGGGCUUUCCCAUUCUUUGGGGCCCGAACCUUCACAUAAUUUCCACACACUUGUGAAUCGUUGGAGCGUUUUUUGAAAAAGAGACGCUCUGGCACCCUUUAAUUAUUACAAACACCGAGUUAAUGGAUGUAGUUGUAAACUUGUCUUUUGACAGAAACAAAAAUACAACUUUCGACAACGGAUCUCUUGGUUCUCCCAUCGAUGAAGAACGCAGCGAAACGCGAUAGUUAAUGUGAAUUGCAGAAUUCAGUGAAUCAUCGAGUCUUUGAACGCAUCUUGCGCUCCUUGGUAUUCCGAGGAGCAUGCCUGUUUGAGUGUCAUGAAUCCCUCAGCCCCCAUCGUUUUUUGUUAAGCGAUUGGCUUGGGUCUGGAUUUGGGCGUCUUGCCAAUGCGCUUUUUCAAGUGCUUGGCUCGCCUUAAAGAGAUUAGCUGGACCCCAUUCCGAGCUGGUUCAACUCGACGUGAUAAUUUCAUUCGUCGAGGUAUGGUUGGCUCUUGCGAGCUGAUCAGCCAGGUGUAGGAAUCCGGUCUGCUUCCAACUUUCGUCUGAAGCCAGCAAUGGUGUGAAGCGGAUUUUUUUAAUGCUCUGGCCUCAAAUCAGGUAGGAUUACCCGCUGAACUUAAGCAUAUCAAUAAGCGGAGGA